ensembl:lncRNA MUC20-OT1 MUC20 overlapping transcript
ACCCUGUCCUAUGUGGACGUCGGCACUGGGAAGUGCACAGCCAGAGGACAACACAUCACACACAAGAAACAGUUGUGCUCAUGUGAUGGGGGCCUCAGCACUAGGAAGGAGUGGACUGUUGGCGCACGCAGCAGCUUGAAUAAAUCUGAAAGUCACUACGCUGCGUAAGAGAAGCCAAAUAAAGCGCAUGCUGUGUACAGAGGGUGUCGAGAAUGCCUCCUACGUGACGGAAAGCAGAUCCGUGGUUCCCUGCAGACUGGCAGGAGCAGAUUCCAAAGGCACAGGAAGAAGCUUGCAGGCAGCUGCUCCCAACCCCAGAACCUUUGCUGUCUUGGGACGGAUCACCGCUGCAAGAGGGGAAGUUGCUACUGUGAUGAAUUCUGCCAUGUGGCACCAGACUGCCACCCAGACCACAGUGUCCUCUGCAACCCUGGUAACUCACAUACAGGCCCGAUUCCACCUACAGCAAAGCUGGAUGCGAUGGCUGGCAGAGGCAAACCCUUUGCCUGC